rnacentral:lncRNA from 1 species
CUGAAAUAGCAUCUGUGCAAAACUUCUUAAUCUGUGAUUUAAUGGACGCAUGGGUCGGAAUCGAUCUUGGGAAAUUUUCAACUAUGGCAGGAUGUGGAAGAGUAAGAAAUAAUUUUUACUUUUGAAUAUAUGGGCUUCUAUUAGUUAAAAGGAGAAAAAAAAAUUGAUUUGACACACGCACACGUAUGUAUGUAUGUAUAUAUAUAUAUAUAUAUGUGUGUGUGUGUGUGUGUGUAUGAACACUUACGUUUUUAAAUUUGCACCAUCUGUGUUUAUCAAAUAAUCAAAAGAAAGUCUGUUUAUAGAUUUUCUCACAUUAUUCACAUGUGCCUUAGAUUUCUUCCAGUUAAGGGGAGGGUCGAGUGAAAGUUUCAACCCCAUGACAAUGAAUGGUGAACUUGUUCUUUCAUUUUUGUUUUAAAACAAUUGUGGAUUUUCCUAUUAUAAAAUCAGACCAGAAGACCACCACAAAAAUGCAGCCAAACUAUUGCAAUAAUGUAAAGGCAUUUACUAAUUAGAUAUACAUGUAAUUAAAUUCCCAUAACUUUAUAUCGAAAUUUGUUUAAAUGCAAUUCUAUGCCUUUAUAUACAUAUAUCUCCCAAUAUUUUUUUUUAAAAUGAAUUUUUAAUAAAGAAAAGGGAAAAUUAUUUUAAAAUUGUAUUCUAAACGUUUUUUAAGCCCUACUGCGUUUUGAGGUUUACAAUGUUAUUCAUUGUAUGUUAGCUGUGUGAGCAAUGUAUAAAAGUUGCAAGGUAUGAACUUGUUCUGUACUUAAUUUUUAUUUCAGUAAAAAAUAAUAUAAAGUGAUCAUGUCAAUAUACAUCAAACAUUCAAAUUCUACGUAUAUCUUACGCAAAAUGGACUACGUUAGUUUAACCAUGUAGGGUUAUUGUUUUUAUUAUUGUUUGAAAAGUACUGGAAUCUUUAGGACACAUCCCUUUUCUCUAAAUAUGCUUUGAAAUUACAGAAAGAGUUUGAGCAUUUACUAAGUCCUUGUGUCACUUAAAAAAAAAUUAAUAUCAAUUUAUAGAGAGCUUGUAAUAAUUUUGUGAAAUUGUUAAUUAUUUCAAUAGUGCACAAACGAACUGGAAUAGUUUCUAAUCAUUUAGCAGAGAGUAAAAUUCAUACAUAAAAUCUUUGCAUGGAAUGGAAUACAAGUUUAGGUUUGUACCUGGAAUAUGGAAAGAAGUAUUUAGAGGAGAAUAAAUAAUCCUAGCAUUCAUUUAGUCUUGUCAUGGUAGGCUUCAUGCUUUUUAUUCACCCCCAAACUUUUAAUGUUUCCAUGCUAAUCUUGGGCUUUUCUUCAAAGACUAAAAUGAACAUAGUCCUUCUGGAUACAGAAAUGGUGUAAUGGAAUUUCUGACAUGUAACCAGAAGAAUAGGUAAACCAUGAACUAAAAGUUAUUAUUUGGAAGACUUGUUGAAAAUAGAGAAGUUCUGGAUGCAGGAAGAUGAAAUGUGGUGUAAAUUGAGGAUGGAAAGUCACUUAAGGUCCACAAAAUAAUUCAAUUUUUCUGAUUUAAGUUCUGAAAUAAGACCAAGAAGAAGUAUGUAGAAAAGAUACGAAAUUCAAUAUGUGCACAGAAAUAAGUAUCCAAUCCAUGUUAGUAUAGUGGAAGAAUUAUGAUUGACCAUGGAUUUCUUAAAAUGAUCUUACCUUGGCCAAUGCAAGCACAUGAAAGUAAUUGAACUUAGUAUUGCAAGUUGAUGAAAGAUUCAAUUGGAGAGUAUAAGUUUUGCUUAUAGCAAGCAACCAGCUACAUCUUUUCAUGGUACCUAUUUAGAAUUGAUUUUAUGAAGUUUACUAGAAUUUUGAUUUGUAAGGGAAAGAUUGCAGCUGGCAGGUUGGUUCCAGAACUUCCUCAGUGUAGAUGAGUAGGGUCACUUAAGUAUUUUUUUUAUCCAUGUUAGCUCUGAAAGUGAUAUUUUUCUUAAUUUGACACAAAGCAUAAAAUACAUGUAGAUAAGAGAAUAUAACAAAACAUGCAACAAAUAUAAAACUUAGAAUAAGAAAUUCAACAAUUUGGUACUUUAUUCAUUUUCAAUUCAUAGAUGGCAAAAUUAUCACAGUGUGAUUUAAUAUUUACUUACAUUCUAACAUAGAUUGGGUGGAGCUGUAAUACAGCAUCUUUUUAGUCAUUUCAGACAUGCUAAUUCAACUAAGAGCCUAUUGCAGGAAUUAGCCUCAUGUUAAUAUUCAGUGUCAGACAUAAAGUAAAUUGUCAACAAAAUUCCAUACCAGCAUAAGACAAUCUGUAAAAAUAUUUUAAUCUCAAUAUAUAUGUGUGUAUGUUUGUGUGUGUAUAUAUAUAUAUAAAUGUGUGUAUAUAUGUAUAUAUAUAUAUAUAUAUAUAUAUAAUACUAGUUUACUUAAAAGUCAAGUGUGGUAGAAAAAUAUUAAAAUAAUAAUUGAUAAAAUACCUUAAACCUAAACCUUUAUGAUUGUUUAAAAACCUGGUUGAGCACAUCCCAUUUUAAGCUAUUUCAAUUCAGUUAAACAUUGUAGACAUGAGAGAAAUUAAAUAGUUUGAUCAAUAAUUAUGCCUGAAGUAUAAAUUUCACUUCCUAAAAACUUUCUGCUUGUGCAGAAAAUAUAUCGUAAACAUCGUUUCAAUACAUAGUAAAUAAAUAAUUUAACAUUUGUUUAUUAACAAACUGUAUUUCAGUAUUGUUUCACUAAUGAACAAUCAAUUAUUAUUAUUGUAAUAAUGCUAAUACAAAUCUAAUAUCUAGCUUACAUACAAUGUAUUUCAACAUAAAAAGCAAAUAUUGUGGGUGUACUUCUUACAGAGAAUUAUAUAUUUUUUAGUCUGAAUUAACAUUCUAUAAAUAUCAUAUUCUGUGAGAAACAAAUGUUGAGAUGACAUGAGUGAAUAUAAAUGAUUGUUUGCAAUUUGAAACUCAAGUAGGUGUCCAUCAAAAACUCCUUUCUCAUCCUUUUCCUCUGUGUCUUGUAUCAAUAGAGUUUUAACUUCAGAAUAUACUCCUGGUUGCAAUCUGAAUUUCAACCCAGAAUCAUUUUAUGAAUGAGAGAAAAAAAAUUAAACCAUUGAGAUUAAAGGUGAACAUUUCUAGAAUGAAGAUAUUUAUCUAGACCUCUACAGUGUAGAUAUUAUUACCUCAUAAAUACUUACAACCAUUGAUCCCUUUAAAUUAUGCACAUGCAUGCACACAUAUUUUGCAACUGGUGUAUGAAAGGAAUUAAUGUGCACAAAAAGGUUAGUUGCCUAAAAUGAAGUAGUAAUUAAUAUUUAUUUCAAGUUUAUAUUUGCACAAGUAUUCAGUGCACGCCUGUUUUUGUCACAAGAAAAAAACAUAGUGACAACUAAAAAUUAAAGAAAACCUUGCUUACACCUUGUAAUUAGUCACACAGACUAAACUAAUUAUAUUGUAUGUUAGGGCUUAUUUCAGUCUUACAGAAUUCAAUGAAAAAUUGCAACUGAAACUUUCAACUUAAACUUGAAUCAAAUGCGUAAUGUUGAAGAUAACUAAAAUUUACAUAUGCUUGAGUUAAUGGUUGGAAACCUUAUAAAUUAACAGCAAAGAAGUAAUUAAAUGUAUUUUAAUAAACAGGCAAGAAAUACAUCACUGGUCAGACUGAUUAUAAUCUUGAGAAGACCUAAACUGUACUUAUUGCUCAAUAGUAAUAAGUAAGCAACUUGUUAUUUAAGAAAUUUUGGUAAAGCUACUUUUAGUUUAAUUUGAGAAAUUUGCAUUGACAAGAAACUAAGAGAGCUCAAUUUUCUUCAUUAAAAUAAUUAUGAUUUAAUCCAAAAGAUAUUUGUCUGUAUUUUAUAACAUUAGAUAGCAUAAAUUUUUAACUUAUUUCCAACAAGGAUAAGUAAUAUCAUAUUUUCAAGGAUAAAAGACAAGAUCUUUAACUUUACCCGAACUAAUCCAUUUGUUGAUAACUUUAUAUCAGGUAUUGCUAAUUUUGAAUUUGAAAAUCAUGGAACACUAUAACUAAGAUGUGGACUCCAAACACCACAUUUCGAGUUAUCCAUGAACUCUGAAUAAGAACUGAUCCAAAGUAGAGGAAAUUCUAGUUCUUCUGCAGGAGAUAGUCCAUCUCAAUAAAUUACAUCCAGUCCACACUGUAAGACUACACAAGGCCAAAAUUAACCAGUUGUCUAUAUUCUUGUGUGACAGGUGACUGAAAACACAAUAAGUGAUAUGAUUCAUUCAUCCUAUGCCAGAUACAAAAUUAUGAACUAUGAUAAUGAUGAUAUAUAUCAUCAUCAUCAUUUAACAUCUGCCUUCUAUGCUGGCAUGGGUGGGACUUAUAUAUAUAUAUGUGUGUGUGUAUAUAUAUAUACAUAUAUAUAUAUGUGUAUGUAUAUAUUUCUACAGGAGUGGAUUGUACACUUUAAGCUAUGUAAAUAACAUAAAUACUAUUAUAUAUACAAUAUUAUAGAUGCAUACAUUUGUAUUUAUGAUACAAUUCUAUUUACCACCAUCACCAGUGCACUCUGUGCUGUGGCUGGCAUUAGGAAGGGCAUCCAGCUGGGGAAAUCAUGCCAAAGCAGACAAUGGAACCUGGUGUGGCCCCUGGCCUUGCCAGCUCCUGUCAAGCUGUCCACCCAUGCCAGCAUGGAAAAUGGACAUUAAAUGAUGAUGAUGAUUUUCUUGUGUAUCUAUAGUCAUUACUACUGUAUACACUUCCAUGAAAUAAAAUAUGCUCUAUCAACAGCAGUAUUGAUGUAAUAGAUUCAUAGCACACAUAGGGAUACUCCUCAUUCUAUAAUGACUGGUAUGAUGCUGAAUAAACAGCAGGAAUCAUUCUGAUGUUAUUGGAUAACAUUUAAAGUAUUUUGGAGUUCUACCCUUGGCAUGUAAUUAAUGGACCUGGUCAGCCCUUUGCAUGAUGAUAUUUCUGGGAUUACCCCAGCCCCACCAAGCUAGAACAUGAAGCAAGAAGCAAGAAGGUUGCAUGUGACAAGCAAUAUAAAUAUGAUAGAUUGGAAAUCGUCAUCAUCAUUUAAUAAUUAUGGUUUGGCCUUGUAGCUAUGUUCCUGGUUUCUUGUUUGCUUAAUUCAAAGCUAAAAUGCUAUUCACUUAUAUCAUCAUUAUCCAGUAUUCCAUAGCCAAGACAUCUUGCAUUUGCCAGAUUUUGGGUUAAUAGUCUGUAAGGUGGCUACAUUGCAGCUGACAACUCAUUUUCAGCUAAAUGGACUGGAGCCACAGGAAAUAUAAUGCUGUGUCCAAGGAAACAACUUGCUUUCUCAUUUGGUGAUCAAACCCACAACCUUAUGAUCAUCAAUCCAACAUGCUAAGCACUAAGCCAUACAAUUUCAUUUUUGCUUAACAUAGAUACAGGCAAAAAGGAGACAUUUUACCAAGGGACUGAAAGGGACAGUUAAUAAAACAAAAGAGAUGUGUCCUCCUGUCAGUCUUUUGCCAGAAAUGCAUUGUGUUUAUAUAUCUUGUCUGUAUGCAUGAAUCAUAUAAUAGGACAUGAAUGCCGUACCCAAGGGUAUAUUCAGUUUCCUUAUUUGUAUUUUAUUUUUAACUCAUAAUUUACGCUUGUUGGCAAUCUGAUCUACAUUUUCCAAUCUUCAUUUAUUGAAUUUCAACCAUAGCUUAGGAUAGGAGUGGCUACAAGCCAAUUGCCUGCCUACAAGUUAAUUAACUAUGAUGACUAAAUUUCUUCCUAAUUGAUGAUAACUACUCUCUUAUCUGAAAUAAAGUGAAAACUGAGAGAGAUUACUACUAUUGUCAAUUUGCUCUCAUCAAACUACAUUUAUAUCCUCCAUAUCUAUUUCCAUUUGACAUAUUUGGAACAGUGAUUUGUUAUUACAACUUAAACAUAAACUAUACAAAUUUUUCUACCUGCUGAUGUCUGAUAAGAAUUGGAAAGCAGUCUUUUUACAAUUAUAGAUCCAUUUUUGUAUGCUAGCAUUGUUUAUGAAAAUUUAGACAUUUGGGUUGAUUUUGUUUUUAUAAUUGGGUGUUGAUCAUGGCACUACUAAUCACUUGAUUAUGAAAUAGAAAUGGAAGAUGUUAACUCUGGGCUACCAGACAAUAUAUAUGUAGUAAUGUUUGUUACCAUGACUACAAGGUCAGUAAUUCAGGAUCUUAAAUUUACUGUCACUGCACAUUAUUCAAAGCCAUUAUACUUCACAAUAUCCUGGAUACAAUUAAUCUACUUUACUGGAUAAACUGCUCUCCCAUACUAGUUAUAGCCUUUUACAUUCUAAGUUCAAUUCCUGCCUGGGUUGAUAUUACCUUCAAUUCUCUCAGAGUAAAUGAAAUAGUAUAGUCAGACCGGGUUUUAUAAUUGAUUAUAUACUCACAGUUUGUGAACCUGUUACCAAUUAUUUUUAUUAUUAACAAGGCGUUGAGCUGGCAGAAUCAUUAGCAUGCUGGGAAAAAUACUUUUGUCUGUCUUCACGUUUUGAGUCCACAUUCUGCCAAGGUCGACUUUGCCUUUCAUCCUUUUGGGAUAAAUUAAGUACCACUAAAACACUGGGGGUGAGGUAAUCGAUUAGUCUCCUCCCCCAAAAUUUCAGGCCUUGUGCCUUUAGUAGAAAAGAUUAUUAUUAUUAUUAUUAUUAUUAUUUAUUGGCAGAAUUGUUAGUGAGAUGCAUAAACUGCUUAGCAGCAUUACUUCUGGCUCUUUAUAUUCUGAGUUCAAAUUCCACUAAGGUCAACUAUGCUUUUCAUCUUCCGACAUUGAUGAAAUAAAGUAUCAGUCAAGUGCUGAGGUUAAUGUAAUCAACUAACCCUCUACCCUUAAAAAUUGCUGGCCUUAUGCUAAAAUUUCUAAGAAUUAUUAUAAUCAUCAUCAUAGUCAUUUAAUGUCUGUUUUCCAUGCUGGCAUGGUUGGAAGGUUUGACCAGAGCUGACAAACAAGAUGGAAAGCUGCACCAGGUUCCAGUCUGAUUUGGCUUGGCUUCUAUGGCUGUAUGCCCUUCCUAACACAAUCACUUUACAAAGUGUAUGGGAUGCUUUUUAUGUGGGCUGGCAUGUAAAAAUUAUUAUUAUUAUUGUUAUUAUUAUUAUUAUUAUUAUUAUUAAGGCUGUGAACUGGAAGAAUUGUCACUGCAUUGGAACAUUUAAAAAAAUAUUUGUUCUAACUUCAAAUCCCACCGUCAUUUUUGACUUUUUCCCUUUCAGAGUCCAUAAAAUAAAAUACUUGUCAAGUACUGGGGUCAGUGGCAUUGACUAACCCCCUCUCCCUCAGAAUUUCUGGCCUUGUGCCUAAAUUAGAAACCAUUAUUGUUAUUAAGGGAAGAGGACAGGAUGAAGUGGCAGAAAUGAUAGGGUGCUAAGUAUAGCACCUACCUUGCAAUAUUUAAGCCCUUCCAUGUUUUUAGUUCAAAUCCUGUGCAGGUCUUCUAAGUGUGGUCAAUAAAAUAAAACUACUAGUCAUUUCCUCCUCUCUAGCAUGUUUGUGGCUUUUGUCUAUAUCAGAAAUCCUUAUUGUUAGUAGCAUUAUCAUCUCACAUAUGAUAAGAUCUUUGGAUUCUUGGCUGUGACAUGUAGAUUUAAAUGCUGCUAGGACUUGUAUCGUAAAAUGAGAGAAUUUAUUUCACUCUAAGUAAUGAAGAAGAGAGUUGCAAGUCAGUGAUAUCAACCAUACAUCUCUAAAGCACAGCUGAGAAUUUUACUUUGCAAUUAUGAAGUCUUGGAUUAAUCCUUUGGUUGAACUAAGGCUUGUGAGUGAAACUGAGUAGAGAGAAACUGCAUGGGGACCCAUUGGAAGGAUUGUACCUGUGACCCAAAGGACCAGCUUUGCUAUACACUGUGUCAUAUUGAUUAAGGGUACAUAUAUUUGUGGAAUGCUUAAUGUCACUGGUACUAAUUUUCAACUAAAUGAACUGAAGCAAUGUGAAAUGAAGUCCUUUGCUCAAGAAUAUAACACACCACCUGAACUGAUAAUGAGACCCAGAACCUAAAGAUUAUGACUUCAACACCAAGUGUAAUCAAGGGCCCAUUGAAUCAGGUUAAUCUGUAUCACUAGACUUACAUAUGUCUAUUUGUUCAUUUUACUUCCAUUGUUUUCAUGCUAGCAUAGGUUGGAUGGGUUCAUAUUGAGAAAUUGUUUUGUCACCAGAUGCCUGUUGCUAACUCUUACCUGUUUUUCAAGAAAAAAAAAAGUUUUUUUUUGUAUUCCACUCAUCCCUCAAAGUACAUAAUGUAAAUGCUCAUAUACACGUGUGUGUCAUCAUCAUCAUCAUUUAAUGUCCAUUUUCUAUGCUGACAUGAGUCGGACUAUUUGAUAAGAACUGGCAAGACUGCACCAAGCUUCCUCUCUCUAAAUAAAUAUAUAUAUAUAUAUAUGUACAUACACACACAUACAUAUAUAUUUACAUACACAAAUCUAUGUAUGCAUGUACACACUAAAAAGAAAUUCCUUUCUAUUUUACAUGCUCUUUUAUGCUUGAAUUCUUUUUCUUUGGAUAUUAUUCACAAUCUUUUCAAUUUUAUUACAUUUUCACACUGAUUAUUGACUUUGUACCUUUUCCCUCUGACCUUGCACUUUUUUAUGUUGUUUUUUUCUCAUCAACUAUAUUGUUUACUUCAGUUUCUUGUACCUUCUAAUUUUUUUCCCACGCCUUCCUCUCUCCUAUAUCACAUUCUCACCUAUUCACCCCCACACCUCUUAUCUCACACUUGCACACCUCCUUACACCCCUACCAACCACCCACACACCUCCUAUGCCCAUCUCUCUUCAUGGAUACUCUCCUAUACUUGUACACAACACUCUGCCUCUCUUCCCCCAUAGAACUGCAUUCUCAUCUGGCCCCUAGACAUUUUUUCUUUUCUUUUUCUUUCCACCACCUUUCCUCCUUUCUUUUCUUUUUUACUGAUGAAGGACUAGCGUCCAAAACAUUAAAAACCCUUUCCUUUUCCUGGUGUGGUAGUGAGGAUGAACCAACCUUGGGCACAACAGAAUCGAUGAAGUGUACUUCAAAUAGAGUGCUCCAUAAGCACUAGCUACAUUUAUAAUUGUUUGACAAAUCAUGAUUAAGAAAAUAUGUGUCAAAUUGAAAUAUGUCCUAGAAUUGAUAUGGUUGACUAAAUCUUUGAAGAUAGUGCCCAAAUAUGGUUAUAGUCCAGUGACUGAGACCAGUAAAGAGAAUAAAAGAAUAUAAAAUGCAUGAUGAUGGUGAGAAGAAAGGUAGUGGUUUCUCUGAUGUCCUUUUAAUGCUACUGUAAGAGAAUUAUGAUUAUGGUUUAUCGAUCCAUGCACUAGUAUCAUUGAUACUCAGCCCUAUUGGUUUUAUUUGGGAGAAGAAAAUAGCCAAUUGUAUUAGCCCCACUAUUCAACUGGUACUUAUUUUAUUGGUUAACUCCCUCCCCUCAAAGAAUAAAAGGUGACCUGGGUGUGAUUUGAACUAUUGUCUGAUGCAUUAACUCUACCAUCUCCGUGUCUUCUAUGAGAGAAUUAUAUCCACUCCACCACUUCAUCUUGUUUUUUUCUUUUCCUUUCCUAUUUAUCUUACAAAAAUGAGUUAGUCAACCAAUGUCUUAACCUUUUCUGAUCAAAUGCAUUCAUCUAUAAUUGACAAGCACUUUGAGUUCAGAAGAGUGUCUUUUUAGUUGUGUUGCACUCCAGUAAUGUCCACUCAUAUGCAGAUAAUGCCACUCAUCCUUCUUAACUUUCCACAACCAACCUCAUCUCUAUGCAACCUAGCCACUUCACAUCCGACUCCAGAUAUUGAAAAAAUGUUGUACAGCACAUCUAAAUAUGAACAACAUGCAACUAUAACCAUCAAGGUCACUACAGAUGUUGUGUCUUACCAUAGCUGAAGAUCUUUCCUGGCAUUUUCACACUGUCAACACAGCAAAACUGGCCUUUCUCUCCAGGGCUAGAAAAUUCUACUGACCCAACAACUACUUAUCCUUUACAAAGCUCAACUGGGGCCUCACAAUAGAGUACUGCUACACAUACAGACAUCCAAAAAGAGGUAACCCAUCUUGUUGGCAUAAGUAACUAGCCAACUCAUACAUGCUCUCUCCUCACUCUGGUCUUUCCAACUGCUACUAUAACAGUCCUUGUUUGGUCUUGUCUCACCUCUGCUUAGGCAGUCUAGAGUCACUUGUGUACCUCUUGUCACUAAUAUUGCUUCCUCCACCAAACUCCAUAACCACUUCUCCAAAACUUUGGUUCUUCUGAAAUUUCCCUUCCUACACAUGUUUAUUGUGUAGAUGUAAAUUUGAAACUAUUCAAGUGGAAUAUUAUUGUGUUAAUCUUACUGGUCUUGAAAAGCUUGUGACAGCCAUAGACACAUUCCUUCCUGCAGACCAGGAAUAAAAACCCACUAAAACUGAUUUGAAGUUGCACUUCAAGAUCAGCAAAACAUCUGUUAGUUAUAGAAUCCUUUGGAAUACUACACUUCCUCAGUCAUUUACAGAUAUGCAACUGUUUCAACAAGAGUUAAGUGUCAUAGCAAUGGAUAUUGUAAAGCAUCAUGUCUUAUAAGGACAAUUGUUCAGUUAUGACUCAUCAGCAUCAUUAUAUUCACAUUUACUUAUUCAUGUCAGCAUCUCACUCGUCUCAGUCCAUUGUCAUUUGAUACACACACAACAGCAAAGAAAAAAGCACUAAUUUUGUUGAUUUUUAUGGCUGGAUGCUCUUCUUAUCACUGACCAUUUUAUAGCAUGAGCAACAUCUUUUAACAUCAUUGAUUCUAGAGAUGCCUAAAGAGUACUCAUUUGCCUUCACUUAAAGUAUAAAAAUAGAAGUAAGAAAUCUCAUAAGCUUCAUUGUUAAAAUUUGAUGCAAAUGGAAAAUUGUAUCUCCAAAAUUAGCUAUAGACAAUGGUAUACCAUAGAAUGUGAUAGACAAUUAUGUUAUAUAACUGUCAUAUAUUUAUACAACACUAUAGUUAUCAUUUAGAUUCAGGUCAACUCUGAUCAGGCAGACCUAUGUUUUAGGCAUGAUCAUUGUGUCAUUUUGUAUAUCAUAGACUAUAUAAUCUAAUGUGUUCCAUUUUUAAGACAGUAGGGGGAUUUAGCUGCUAUUUCUUGCCAGUCAAGCUAGUCCAUAGAGCACCUUCAUUUGCUCAUCAGUAUGCUAUGCUUACAAAUAAUGUAGAGAAUAUAUAAUGUUAGAUUUGUAUUCAAAUCUUUCUGCUUUGAUUAUUCUUUUAUGUGUUUCAGUCCAUAGGCUGUGGUCAUACUGGGGCACUGCCAGUGUAAACACUUUUCAAUGGCCAUUCUUAUGUGAAUGGCUUUUGGUGAUCAAGAAAAUUUUAUAUCAUUCACUUAUUGCUGUGGCCAACAUUUACUUUUUCACAAACAAUUGGCAUAAUUAGGCUUCUUAACCUAAUGAGAGGAAUCUAAUACUGAAAACUCAUGUCCAAAUUGGUAUUGUAGAAAACAAUUUAGUAAAAAGUCAAUUUUGAGGAUGAUCACUGAAUAACUAAACUCCAUCCAUCUCGCUUUUGUAUAUAUGUAUAAAUAAACACAUGUAUACAUAAAAUUUAAAAAAAGAUCUGAGCUAAGUGGUGAUGGACUGUAGUUGCAAUUAAUUAGUAUAAACAGUUUGAAAAGUGGAAAAAAUGAGUUGUGUUGAAUAUUUACCCCAUCACAUUUUAUGAUUUUUUUUAUUUAAAAAAAAUUUCUUCAGAAUCCUGUUUUCACCAGCAGAGAUUACGAGUUGGUUUCCAAAACAGCUUUUCAAAAUUUUAAUACCCUACUCCUCCCAAAUUUUUUGUUUUACUUUUUAUCAAAAAAUUUUGGGGAAUUCUACUUGGAAAAGUACAGACUGUGAUUCUGAGAAAGAAAAAAAUAUUUUCUUCCAAAUUUCAGUUUUGUUAACAUUGCUUGCUCUCCCUCUCUUGGCUUUUUGGCAUAACUACUUCACCCCAAUACCGACAUUCCAGAUGUUUUUAAACUCAGCUACUUAUUUUUGCAUGCAUGCAUUCUUAUUGAACCAGUAGAUGAAAUGAGAGAUACUUUAGUUGUUUGACAUGCUUGAAAUGACAACUAAAUCUUUGAAAAAUAAUUUUUCAAAAUUUCAUUUUUUUAAAAAAAUCACCCCCAUUCCCAGUUAUUAGAUAAGAAUGUGCAUUGUGUAUGAAUGGAUGUCUGUUGGAACCAGAUGAAAUAAGGGAAGCCUCAAUGUGGGCAUUCAACAUGCUAAAAAUAAAAACCAAGGCUCUGAAAAGUGAUUUUUUUCCAGUUUCACUUUUUUUAAAAAAUCAUUCCAUUCCUUGGUUUCUGAAAUAAUGAUACCUGCCCCACAGAGAUAAGGAAUGUAUCAGCAAAGAUAUUCCCACUUCCUACCAAGCAAACAGCACUAAAAUAUUAGGAAAAUUUUUCGGUGUCCCCCUCUCAUUAGUGAGAAGACAAGUUUGCAUCCUUCUACUUUAUCUUUCUUUGCCAUAGUGUUGGACAAGUUUUAAAUGUUUCAAAUUAUCUCCAAAAUCAACAUGAAAAUGUAAUUUAAACCUGGCUGAAACUGAUUUAAUGUGAAUUUGUAAAAUUAAAGAUGCAUUAUUUUUCUAAUAGACUUGCAAUAGGUUCCUGCUUCCAACUAACAUUUGCUAUCACUUUGUUUUCAGUUGUAAUUCUACACACAUCCAGGAUAUGUUAUAGCAGUAUUUUUCAGAGAAAAUUGAUACCCUUGGAGUAUGGCAGGGAUUGAAAAUAGGGCAGAUAGAUUGCCUUGUUUUCAAGAGAAAAAUCGAAAUGAUUUGAAACAUUUAAAAUUCAUUUAUUCAACACUGUGGGACAAAGGGAUUUGUAGUGUGCUUUAUUUGUCAAGAAUCUGAACAUGAUCAAACACCUUUUGCCUCAAACUGAUUGACUCAUAUCUGCUGUCCUGCUUUCUGAAAUCAUUUGUUUCUACUUUAUUGGCAUUCAUGUUUGUCUCAGGUUCC